rnacentral:rRNA from 1 species
UGGGGAAUAUUGGACAAUGGGGGAAACCCUGAUCCAGCAAUGCCGCGUGAGUGAAGAAGGCCUUAGGGUUGUAAAGCUCUUUCGCCCGCGAAGAUAAUGACGGUAGCGGGAGAAGAAGCCCCGGCUAACUCCGUGCCAGCAGCCGCGGUAAUACGGAGGGGGCUAGCGUUGUUCGGAAUUACUGGGCGUAAAGCGUACGUAGGCGGAUGCGCAAGUUGGGGGUGAAAUCCCGGGGCUUAACCUCGGAAUUGCCCUCAAAACUGCACGUCUUGAGACCGAGAGAGGUUAGGGGAAUUCCUAGUGUAGAGGUGAAAUUCGUAGAUAUGAGGAAGAACACCAGUGGCGAAGGCGCCGUACUGGCUCGGUACUGACGCUGAGGUACGAAAGCGUGGGGAGCAAACA